rnacentral:rRNA from 1 species
AGUGCGGCGGCUAUACAUGCAGUCGAGCGAAUGGAUUAAGAGCUUGCUCUUAUGAAGUUAGCGGCGGACGGGUGAGUAACACGUGGGUAACCUGCCCAUAAGACUGGGAUAACUCCGGGAAACCGGGGCUAAUACCGGAUAACAUUUUGAACCGCAUGGUUCSAAAUUGAAAGGCGGCUUCGGCUGUCACUUAUGGAUGGACCCCCGCCGCAUUAGCUAGCUGGUGAGGCAACGGCUCACCCAGGCAACGAUUCUCAUCCAUCCUGAGAGGCACUUGGCCCUCCCUCCGCCCGAUCCACGCCCCACACUCCCACGGUAGGGAGGAGAAGGGAAUCUUCCUUAAUGGAUCAUGUC